UACGUAGGGUGCAAGCGUUAUCCGGAAUUAUUGGGCGUAAAGAGCUCGUAGGCGGUUUGUCGCGUCUGCUGUGAAAACCGGAGGCUCAACCUCCGGCCUGCAGUGGGUACGGGCAAACUAGAGUGCGGUAGGGGAGAUUGGAAUUCCUGGUGGAGCGGUGAAAUGCGUAGAGAUUGGAAAGAACACCGAUGGCGAAGGCACUUUACUGGGCUAUUACUAACACUCAGAGACGAAAGCUAGGGUAGCAAAUGGG
rnacentral:rRNA from 1 species